rnacentral:lncRNA from 1 species
AAUCAGCCUCAGGCUGGUUUCAAUAGAUUGAUUUAUCACCUCAUUAAGUGCUCUAUUUUUCUACUUCUUUGCACUCCUAUCCUUGAGUGCCAGACUUGCGGUGUUUACCUUGCUGGGUACUGAGUAUGUUUGUUUUCUAAUUAUUCUUGAACUUUGCUCAGGGACACAGUGCAGUUCUUUGGAAACAUUUUGAUACUUUCAGGACUUGAUAUUACACUUUGGUAAAUCGAACCCAUGCAGUGCUCAUCUAGGUUCAGUUAUUUCCCACAGCUGAGGUAAGAGCCUCUGGGUAAGGUUGCUAGUAUGGUGGAUAUGAAAAGGCACUCUCCUCACGACUGUGUGAGCACCAGGCACUGUAAUCUCUCAUCUCUUAGGGUGUUUGUUCUGAGCUUUGGUUUCUUCAGAUAUACACACUGAUCAGUGCUUAAUUGGAUACCAGAGGUGGCUCUCUGAACAUCCCUAGAGUUUCAUUUCUCUCGGCGCAAUACUCUUCUUCAGUAAUUUACCCUGUGGAAUUUCUCUACGUUAGCCUGCUCAGGCUCUCAACACCAACUUUCUCAACUCAAGGAGUCUGCUCAGAUUUGCUUCAGUUGCGCUUCCCUUCACCACUGCCUGGCAACACUCAGGGCAGUAACGUAAUUAUUUCAGGUGGGAAGGUAAAUAAAUCCAUUCCCUAUUACUCCCUUUUAGGCAAGAAAGCUUCCACGUCAAAAUGUUUUACAAUAAUGCUCUAUCCUCUAUAACCCUUUACAUUAUUGAGAGAUCCAGGGACUUAAUAAAUUUUACAUUUUUUUUUUAGAAAAAUAUUUUCCAGGUUGUACUGUGUAUUUCCUGAUAUAUGCCCAUUAAGAGGCACAUAAUGUUGAUUUUUAUUCUUAACUGCCUUCUGGGGCUCAUUUCGAACUCAUAUAAUUAACAUUCAUACAAAUUAUCUUUGAAAAAUAUCCAAUAUAAAAUUUUCAGUUACUUAUUUACUUUAUAGGACAACAUUUGAGGUAAUAACAACCAAGGUUUUAAAUGUAAAUAUAACCCAACACUCACAGUUUCAAAAACCCCUAGAACCUAUUUUUCAGUACCUUUUAGUUCUCACUUACAUACAUAACAAAAACAUAAAUUUUGCCAAAAAUAUCAUGUUGAAAAAACCCUUCAAGUGAAAUUGCUAUCUCUAAUGAAGCAGUCACUCUCUCUUACCAUGGAAACAUCACUAUGCCACCGCCAACUUUAGAAAAAUCAGCCACACUCAUUAAUGGCCAAGAUGCCCAUCCUAUGUUUGUGAAGACAUGGCAUUUUUUUUUUAUUGAAUUUAUGAGACAAGGAUAAAUAUAUAUUGACCUCAACAUAGAUUCACUACCACAAGUAGAACCACUUUACUAAUUAAAGACUUGAAUAUAUAUGUAUUUUCAUGGACAUAAAAUAUACAUUGUACUACACUGUUUUAUAUAUUUCAAAUGUAAUUGAUUUAUAUAACUUGUGACCUAUGUGUUCAUAUCCUUAUAAUAUGCUUGUUUUUAUGCCAGAACCAGGAUAUAACUCAUACUCUGCUCUUACUUCAAAGAGGGUGAUAGCUAAUAAACCACAAGUCCUUUGAUAUUUUUCCUAUGAAACAUUACACACAUACAAAGGACAAGUAAAAAUAGAAAUUUAACUCAUUCAUUCAAGAAAGUAACAAUUUAGAAUACAAGAAUUUUUACUGGCCAAAACUUUUAGAAAUCCUUCCACUUAAGGAGUGUCCGUGUUCCCAUUGUUUCUUUAAAACAUUUAUAAAUAGUUUCAAGUCAGUAAUAUUGUCAUCUCAGGUUGCUAACCAGCAUGAAGCCAAAGGAAAUAUAUGUAUAUAAUACCAUGAGGUUGAACUGCUUGAGAAAGCCAUGCUGUUAAAAGGUAUUGUAUCUAUUCAAUCAACUCCAGCAUUAACUUUUUUUUUUUUUCCUCUAGGUCAGGCUCAAUUACAUCUGCAAUCUUCUGUGAUCACUACAAAAUCUAGUUUCACCAAUAUAUUUGUUCUUUUGCUUAGGUUUCAAUAGAUUUAAUAAGCCUUGAAGGUUGCUGAGUUUGCCAACUGUAGUAAAUGCAAAAAAUAGAGAAUAUGCUAAAUAUGCAGUAUUUCUAGAAUCACAGGUGACAAAGCAUUUUUUUUUUCCCAAGAUGAGUUUGUUUUAAAUUAAGAGUAAUAUAAAAGUGACUUUUCUGGUUGCGUAUGUAUGUUUUAUGUUACAUGUGUUGAUCUGAAUUAAAAUCCUGUGUACAGUUACCACUUUGAUCUGUCUGCAUGUGAACAAAGACCAGCAAACAAGUGCCACUGAAAAUCAAAUUGAAGAAGGGUUAGGACCCAGUAGCAAAAACCCAAAAACCUGAAAACUGACAAUGACAAGACCAACCAUUCCAUCACUUUAGAUUAAGUGGGACCAGGCCAAUUUUUGAAAACAAAUGUCAAAUGUGAACAAAGGAGACAACUUCCUAUACUAGAGUGACUAGUUAUACUAAUAGGAAAACUACUGUAAUGUUCAUCUUCCAGUAGAUAUCUUAUUCCAGGAUGAUUUGUAUUCUGACCUAUUUGGGGUAGGGAAGAGGGGGAAGACUGGGACAUAACAAGACUAUUGAAGGCUGGAUCCAUCAGUGUUGCAUUGUUUAAACAUCAUUGUUCCCAGAAAAAAAAAAAAAAGACAUAGAAAAGUGUGAGAGCCAUUGCUCAUGUGUGUGAGUAUACAAGUAUGUUUUAAACUCAUGCAAAAAGCCAUUUAAGUCAAAACACCAGAAUAUAAAUAUUGUGAUCCUUAUGUCAUUCCUCACUUUAACGACUUGUUUUUAAUAGACAGCAAUCUUUUUUGUUUUUAAUAGAGACAGCGAUCUUUUUUUGUUUUUAAUAGAGGCAGCAAUCUUUUUUUGUUUUUAAAGAAAGGUACAAGCAAUGAACCUGAAGUCAAUAGUUUCAACCAGGAGACUCUCUUUAUAACUUUAUAAUUAAUUACAAAGCAAGUAUGCAUUUAUAAACAAACACCCAAACAAUAAUGCUGAGAAACCUCAUAAGGAUGAAUAAGGCUUGUACAAUAUUAUAAUGAUUAAGUAUUUUUUUCCUCUAAGGGGCCAUUUAGGUUUUAUUGUUAUUUUGCAGUUUAAUAAAAAUGUAAAUGCAAUUCUGAAUGAGAACAAUGGGGAAAAGAGUGAGGGGAAAAAAAGAAAGGUAAGUUCCCCAGAGCACCUGAGGAACAGAUGGCAAAAAAGAUGGCCUGGGUCCACCUGGGAGAUCUUAAGGCUCAACAUGCAAAGCGUGGGUCUGUGAAUGGGGUAACUGACACCUCUACUCCACUUUAACACAGCGAAAAACAAAAGUGGUUCAUGUUGGCUCAAAAGCUGUUAAAAUGGUCUAAAACAGAAGUAGGGGCAAACAUUAUAUAAACAAAUACAUAUUGAAAGAAACUGCUUGUAUAAAUCCAUGAGUUCCGAGGUAGUCCUUGGUACUUCAGCAUUUUUUUAUUCUUAUUAUAAACCAUUGGGUUUUUCACAGAUUACAAAAUGAAAGUAGUGGUAAUUAAUGUGUUGUCAUCAAAAUAAAAACAUUUUAGUGUUUUCUAUCAAGAAAAGGAAUACAUUAAAGGGACAGUUUCUCUAAAAAAGUCACUGGUGUAAAUUCAGAUUCCAUUGUGGGACAGAGCACUGGAGGACAUAACACCUUUAAUCACAUCUUCAAAACACUACCAAUCUAUUUAAUUUUAACUUGUACCAUAUCACGCAUUGCUUCCAAAAUGUUCUAACAAAGGGUUAUGAACAGCUCCAUUUUCAUAAUCAGAGAGACAGAGGUUUAAACAACCCACAAUGUUUAAUUAACUGCAGGAUCUUGACAAGAUACUGCUUUCCAGGUUUUAGUUUGCCCAUCUGUAGGUCAGGCUCUAAGGUUUAAAGAUAAAGUGUGUGUUAGACUAAAUCUUAGCUUCUCUAGAGAAAAAAGAACCAAUAGGUUAUGUGUGAGAGAAAAACGUAUUUCAACAAAUUGACUCACGUUGUCAUCGGGUGGAUAAGGCAGGCUGGCAGUCCAGAGAUCUGGGGAAGAGUUGACACUGCGGUCUUGAGUUCAUAGGCGGUAUGGAGGAAGAACCGCCUCCUCGAAAUUUAUUUAUGUGAGGCCCAUUUAACCACUUAGUGGAGUUCUCAGGGCAAUUGUGUAAAUGCACAACUGAAUUUUAUUGGGAUUAGGAGGAGAGGAUACUGGCCUACAUGCAGUGAUUAUCACACCUGACUGUGAUAGGAUCAUCUACAGAGCUUUAAUGAUCUACUAAGGCCAACCCCACUCCCCCAUUCUUACUUAAUUUGAAAGCUUCCCAUGUAAUUCUAAUAUGCUCCAGCCUUAGAAACCACUUCUGUAGGAAAAAGGGAUGGUUCUAGAAAUAAUUAGAUGUAUGUCACCUCCCAUAUAUCUUAGAUAUAAACUCAAGCACUGUUCCAGCUUGCAGAUUUACUAUAUAACACCACACUGCCUUCAGUGUUGGCCCCAGGCUACCAGAGCAUUCCUAAAGAUAGGUGGUAAAUUACCAAAAGUAAUUCCUUUUCUGACACUGAUUUGUUACGUUAUGCAUGGAACAGUUUGUCAAAAAUUUUUAAGUACAGAUAAAAUUUAAACAAGGUAAAAUCUGUGAUAUUUAUUUUUUAAUAUUUAGAAUAAUGCAACCCAAGGAAACUAUAAACAUGAAUAAAGUGAUGAAAAGCAACUUGAAAAAUGUCAUGUAUCAACAAUGAAAAACUAUGCUAAUAAGGUUGAUUAACAUAAACUUAUCAAUCAUUCAUCAAAUCUCUAUUUUGGCCUAGUUUUUCUAUUAAAACCUGUGAAUGAUAUAGGGAUAAUGCUUGUAUUCAAGGAAUUUACUAUCUCAUUAGAAAUGAAUGAAAUAUCAUGUGAUGAUGCUUGACAAGUAAUAACAGCUAACAUUCAUUAAGCACUACAUUUAAAAUACUGUUUAAGGACUUACAUCUAUGAAUUCACUUAAUACUCAUCAAAUGUAUGAGGUAGUAAUUAUCAUUUUCAAAUAAGGGAACUGAGGUAUACAUUAUUAAAUAAAUUGUUAAUUACUGGUGGAAUUAGAAGAAAAAUAGGAAACAGGGAAAACUGGCUGGAACUGAGAACAAGAGGUCAAGAAGUGUCCGGCAUGGAAAUGCUUAUCAUUCACACAAAGAUGACCAUGGAAGGUAUAAGGAGGAGUUGAAAUUACCUAGAAAAUAAUAUAAUGGAGGAAAUACCCAAAAGGCUCCCACUUUCCCUAGACUCUCUACUCAUUUUCCUCCAUUUCUCUCUAGCAUCUCAUACUAAAAGCAAUCUUCAUCAAGUGAAGCACAUUAUCCAAGCAAAGCAAACCUAUUUAUUACCCAAGCAAAGCCUGGUGUUUCACCCAUGACUCCUAGAGAGAAAAAAGUCUGUUUUCCCAGCUGUACUCUUUUCCCCUUUUUUGCCCAUGAUAAGUAUUUCCUUCUCUCUCCACUGGGAGAUUUCUUCUGGCUUCUUCCAGAGUCAGUGCUCUAUCUGCUGGCUCUCACAUCAUUUUUCACAUGUCACGUCUGCGUCACUGGUGUUUAAUUAUUUAUUGGCAAACCUGUCUCCUCUCAGGGACUGUGUGUACCUUCAAAGACAGAGUUCCAUUUUUACAGAUAUUUAUGUCUCACAUUGCUCCAUAAAAGAAUGAAUCUUCAGCUAAGACAAUGGCCAAGG